CGUGUGCAGACAGCCCUGCAGCGUCGGGCCGCGGACCUGCGUGACUCCCUGGUGCUCUCCAAGUUCCUGCAGAAUGUGCAAGAGGAGGAGGAGGCGCGGAGCCGGCACCGACCCCCUCUGCCAGGAAGUGGGCAUUGCGGCUCGCAGGGGUCUUUGCCCCUGCUCUUGGCCCCAGCCAGGCAGCCACCAAGCAGCGAGGACAUGAGCAGCCCCUUGGGACAGCUGCAGGAGGCUGUGGAGAUGCUGAAUGAUGCAGUGAAGGAGCGAGAGCGUGUCAUGGAGGCGGCAGCGGAGAUGGAGAGCCUGGAGCACCUGCUGGCAGAGGUGUGCCCAUGCUUGGAGGCCAUCCGAUGCAGAGCCGAAGCCCUGGCUCGAGACACUGCCCAAGCGGAGAGUGGUUUUGCUGUGGUGAAGAGUGAGAAGGAUCUCCAGGGGCUUCACGGCUUGCUGAGCCGGCAGCGGGAGAUGGAGGUGAGACUGGGGAAUU
rnacentral:lncRNA from 1 species